rnacentral:rRNA from 1 species
UACGGAGGGUGCAAGCGUUAAUCGGAAUUACUGGGCGUAAAGCGUGCGCAGGCGGUUUGUUAAGUCUGCUGUGAAAUCCCCGAGCUCAACUUGGGAAUUGCAGUGGAUACUGGCAGGCUGGAGUAUGGUAGAGGAAAGUGGAAUUCCCGGUGUAGCAGUGAAAUGCGUAGAUAUCGGGAGGAACACCUGUGGCGAAAGCGGCUCACUGGACCAUAACUGACGCUGAUGCACGAAAGCUGGGGGAGCAAACAGG